UUUGUUUUAGUAUAAGUUUAUUAUAUUAACUUUUCGUGUUGAUGAUAGUUUGUGUGAAACUAAACAAAU
rnacentral:tRNA from 1 species